rnacentral:lncRNA from 1 species
GGAAGUGGUGCCAGGAAUAGCCCGGCAGAUCCGCCUGCAGCCCGGAGCGCUCCCUCCCGCCUCGGCCAGGGCGGGCUGCGGCUCCCGGGCCUCCGCCUCUCUCUCCCCCGUGCAACACCAGCCCCUCCGGCACUGUCAGGGUGACGGUGAUGAUCCUUUCCAAAAAGAGGGAGAGAAAUGACCUGCCUUAAGAUAAAUGCGUGAAGCGGGCGCCCCUUGGCCGCUGGAAUAUCUCUAUCUGUCUUUAUAUAUAAAGAAGCACCGCGAGCCACCUCACUCCAGGCAAGCCCUUAGCAAAGGAGCAACAAGAGCGCCCGGCGGGAUCAGCAACAACAACAACAACAAGGGCACCGGGAGGGCUUCCCUCCUUCCUCCUCGGUGACUUCCCAGUUCUGUCCUAAUAUGCUUACGGAGUCUGAAAAAUGCAACUCUAAUAUACAAGAAAUAUCAGCCUGCACACAAAAAAUUGUAAAGAAUAUCUCUGUUCUUAAAAAUGUGGGACCCUCUUCUGAUAUGUGAUCUACAGCAAGCUACUUUGAAUCGUACGAUGACAAUGUUAUCACUGCCACAUCUCUGGGAACCAGUUAUUCAUAAGUAUACGGUGGAAGAGAGAGUCAACAGCCAUAUUUGCUGGAGCGGUGAACCAAAUUGCCUUGACUGGAACCAUUACUCACUUGCACAUUUGACAGCAGCAGCCAGCCAGCACUGCACCAAUUCAGUAGCAAUGCUGGCCUAUGUUAGGCAUUCUGGGCCAGGAUCUGCCCGCUGUACCUAUACCCGCUGAAGGCAAUGAAGAUGCUCAGGAGCUGACCUAGCACAAGGUGAGGUCAUCAGCAGCUGGCUCUUUCUGAGCAGAGCUGCAUGUGGAUUGUGUGCUGCAAUGCAUGCUGCUGUGGAAGGAACCCAUUUAAAAAGCAAGAAAUGCAAAUCGUUUUGAAUUACAGGCAGCAGGAAGGAUUCUUUCUCUGUAAUACCUAGAUAAACCUCUAUUUAUGUGGCCAUAUCAUUUCUGCAAGUAACCUACCUCUUAUUAGGGGUAGGAUGUGAUAACAGUAUCAACACUCAACCACACCUGAUGGGAUUAAUUUCAUGUAACUUCCAAUAUGUGUAUAUACCUAUUCACAUCUAUAUUUCCCUCUGUCUAAAAAUAGCCUAAGGUUACAGAUUCAAGGCUUACAGC